GGGUGUGUGGCUUGGUGGUAGGCUCAUGCUUAGCAUGAGUGAGGCCCUGGGUUCUAUCCCCAGCACACACA
rnacentral:tRNA from 1 species